rnacentral:rRNA from 1 species
CCUACGGGGGGCAGCAGUGGGGGAUAUUGCACAAUGGGGGAAACCCUGAUGCAGCGACGCCGCGUGGGUGAAGAAGCGCUUCGGCGCGUAAAGUUCUGUCAGCAGGGAAGAAAAUGACGGUACCUGAAGAAGAAGCCCCGGCUAACUACGUGCCAGCAGCCGCGGUAAUACGUAGGGGGCAAGCGUUAUCCGGAUUUACUGGGUGUAAAGGGGGCGUAGACGGUGAUGCAAGUCAGGAGUGAACGCCCGGGGCCCAACCCCGGGACUGCUCUUGGAACUGCGUGGCUAGAGUGCAGGAGGGGCAGGCGGAAUUCCUGGUGUAGCGGUGAAAUGCGUAGAUAUCAGGAGGAACACCAGUGGCGAAGGCGGCCUGCUGGACUGCAACUGACGUUGAGGCCCGAAAGCGUGGGGAGCAAACAGGAUUAGAUACCCCAGUAGUC